AUUUUCCGGUUGAUCCCGCCGGACCUGACUGCUAUCGGAUUGGUACUAAGCCAUGCGAGUCAUUGUACAAUACAAGGCGGACGGCUCAGUAACACGUAGUCAACCUAACUCGUGGACGUGGAUAACCUCGGGAAACUGAGAAUAAACCGCGAUAGAUCAUUAUGCCUGGAAUGGCUUAUGGUCCAAAUAGUUUACUGCCAUGGGAUGGGACUGCGGCCUAUCAGCUUGUUGGUGAGGUAAUGGCCCACCAAGGCUAUAACAGGUACGGGCUCUGAGAGGAGAAGCCCGGAGAUGGGUACUGAGACACGGACCCAGGCCCUAUGGGGCGCAGCAGGCGAGAAACCUUAGCAAUGUGCGAAAGCACGACUGGGUCAGUCCGAGUGAUUCCUGAUAAAGGAGUCUUUUGCUUGUCCUAAAAGCACAGGUGAAUAAGGGGUGGGCAAGUCUGGUGUCAGCCGCCGCGGUAAUACCAGCACCUCGAGUGGUCAGGACGUUUAUUGGGCCUAAAGCAUCCGUAGCCGGCUCUGCAAGUCUUCGGUUAAAUCCACCUGCUCAACAGAUGGGCCGCUGGAGAUACUACAGAGCUAGGGAGUGGGAGAGGCAGACGGUAUUCAGUGGGUAGGGGUAAAAUCCUCUGAUCCAUUGAGGACCC
rnacentral:rRNA from 1 species